UACGGAGGGGGCUAGCGUUGUCCGGAAUUACUGGGCGUAAAGGGCUCGUAGGCGGCCAACUAAGUCGGAUGUGAAAUCCCCAGGCUCAACUUGGGAACUGCAUCCGAUACUGGAUGGCUUGAAUUCGGGAGAGGGAUGCAGAAUUCCAGGUGUAGCGGUGAAAUGCGUAGAUAUCUGGAGGAAUACCGGUGGCGAAGGCGGCAUCCUGGACCGACAUUGACGCUGAGGAGCGAAAGCUAGGGGAGCAAACGGG
rnacentral:rRNA from 1 species